rnacentral:rRNA from 1 species
AGCAGCCGCGGUAAUUCCAGCUCCAAUAGCGUAUAUUAAAGUUGUUGCAGUUAAAAAGCUCGUAGUUGAACUUCGGGAUUUGCCCAUUGGUCAGGCUUAACUGUCUGCACUGGUGUGACGAGUUCCUACCUUCUGAGGAAUCUCCAUGUCAUUCAGUUGGUGUGGGGAGAAAUCAGGACUGUUACUUUGAAAAAAUUAGAGUGUUUAAAGCAGGCAUCCGUCUGAAUACAUUAGCAUGGAAUAAUAAAAUAGGACGGUUUGGUUCUAUUUUGUUGGUUUCUAGGAUCACCGUAAUGAUUAAUAGGGAUAGUUGGGGGCAUUAGUAUUCAAUUGUCAGAGGUGAAAUUCUUGGAUUUAUUGAAGACUAACUACUGCGAAAGCAUUUGCCAAGGAUGUUUUCAUUAAUCAAGAACGAAAGUUAGGGGAUCGAAGACGAUCAGAUACCGUCGUAGUCUUAACCAUAAACUAUGCCGACUAGGGAUCGGGCGAAGUUAAUUUUUAAUGACUCGUUCGGCAC